rnacentral:rRNA from 1 species
UACGUAGGGGGCAAGCGUUGUCCGGAAUCAUUGGGCGUAAAGAGCGUGUAGGCGGUCCGGUAAGUCGGCUGUGAAAGUCCAGGGCUCAACCCUGGGAUGCCGGUCGAUACUGCCGGACUAGAGUUCGGAAGAGGCGAGUGGAAUUCCCGGUGUAGCGGUGAAAUGCGCAGAUAUCAGGAGGAACACCUAUGGCGAAGGCAGCUCGCUGGGACGUGACUGACGCUGAGACGCGAAAGCGUGGGGGAGCAAACAGG